ACGGAGGAUGCAAACGUUAUCCGGAUUUACUGGGCGUAAAGCGCGUGUAGGCGGUUUGGUAAGUAGAGCGUGAAAGCUCCUGGCUCAACUGGGAGAGGUCGUUCUAAACUGCCGGACUAGAGGAUGGUAGAGGGAGGUGGAAUUCCGGGUGUAGCGGUGAAAUGCGCAGAUAUCCGGAGGAACACCAGUGGCGAAGGCGGCCUCCUGAACCACUCCUGACUCUCAGCCGCGAAAGCUAGGGUAGCAAACGG
rnacentral:rRNA from 1 species